UGACAGACAUCGGCGUAAAGAGUGGUUAAUAGAAAUGAUACUAAGGCUAAACAUCUUCAAGGCUGUUAUACGCACCCGAAGACAGGAAAACCUACCACGAAAGUGGCCUUAACCUAUUUGAACCCACUAAAGCUAGGAGA
rnacentral:rRNA from 1 species